rnacentral:rRNA from 1 species
AACGAACGCUGGCGGCGCGUCUUAACCAUGCAAGUCGAGCGGCAGGCAGCAAUGCCGAGAGCGGCGGACUGGUGAGUAACACGUGGAUAACGUACCCCGAUGCCCGGGACAGCCUGUAGAAAUAGAGGGUAAUACCGGAUAGGUCACCGUUUUUGUAAGGAAGACGGCGGGAAAGGAGCUUCGGCUCCGCGCUGGGAUCGGUCUGCGGCCCAUCAAGCUCGUUGGUGAGGUAAGAGCUCACCAAGGCGAGGACGGGUAUCCGGCCUAAGAGGGCGGACGGACACAUUGGGACUGAGAUACGGCCCAGACUCCUACGGGAGGCAGCAGGUAAGAAUAUUCCGCAAUGGGGGGAACCCUGACGGAGCGACGCCGCGUGAACGAAGAAGGCCGGAAGGUUGUAAAGUUCUUUUCUGUUCGAGGAAUAAGUGUCGGAGGAAAUGCCGACAUGGUGACGG